UGUGGCCUACGGGAGGCAGCAGUGAGGAAUAUUGGUCAAUGGCCGCAGGGCUGAACCAGCCAAGUCGCGUGAGGGAUGACGGUCCUAUGGAUUGUAAACCUCUUUUGUCAGGGAGCAAAGGGCGCCACGUGUGGCGUUUUGCGAGUACCUGAAGAAAAAGCAUCGGCUCACUCCGUGCCAGCAGCCGCGGUAAUACGUAGGGGGCAAGCGUUAUCCGGAUUUACUGGGGGCAAAGGGAGCGUAGACGGCAUGGCAAGUCUGAUGUGAAACCCCGGGGCUAAACCC
rnacentral:rRNA from 1 species